GACGAACGCUGGCGGCGUGCUUAACACAUGCAAGUCGAACGCUGAAGACCUGGCUUUUGUUGGGUUGGAUGAGUGGCGAACGGGUGAGUAACACGUGAGUAACCUGCCCUCUUCUUUGGGAUAACGCCCGGAAACGGGUGCUAAUACUGGAUAUUCACUGAUCUUCGCAUGGGGGUUGGUGGAAAGGUUUGUUCUGGUGGGGGAUGGGCUCGCGGCCUAUCAGCUUGUUGGUGGGGUGAUGGCCUACCAAGGCUUUGACGGGUAGCCGGCCUGAGAGGGUGAUCGGUCACAUUGGGACUGAGAUACGGCCCAGACUCCUACGGGAGGCAGCAGUGGGGAAUAUUGCACAAUGGGCGAAAGCCUGAUGCAGCGACGCCGCGUGAGGGAUGGAGGCCUUCGGGUUGUAAACCUCUUUCGCUCAUGGUCAAGCCGCAACUGUGGGUUGUGGUGAGGGUAGUGGGUAAAGAAGCGCCGGCUAACUACGUG
rnacentral:rRNA from 1 species